UACGGGAGUGGCAAGCGUUAUCCGGAAUUAUUGGGCGUAAAGCGUCCGCAGGCGGUCUUUUAAGUCUGCUGUUAAAGCGUGGAGCUUAACUCCAUUAAGGCAGUGGAAACUGGGAGACUAGAGUGUGGUAGGGGCAGAGGGAAUUCCCGGUGUAGCGGUGAAAUGCGUAGAUAUCGGGAAGAACACCAGUGGCGAAGGCGCUCUGCUGGGCCAUAACUGACGCUCAUGGACGAAAGCCAGGGGAGCGAAAGGGAUUAGAUACCCCUGUAGUCCUGGCCGUAAACGAUGAACACUAGGUGUCGGGGGAAUCGACCCCCUCGGUGUCGUGGCCAACGCGUUAAGUGUUCCGCCUGGGGAGUACGCACGCAAGUGUGAAACUCAAAGGAAUUGACGGGGGCCCGCACAAGCGGUGGAGUAUGUGGUUUAAUUCGAUGCAACGCGAAGAACCUUACCAGGGUUUGACAUCCUGCGAAUCUUUUGGAAACAGAAGAGUGCCUUCGGGAGCGCAGUGACAGGUGGUGCAUGGCUGUCGUCAGCUCGUGUCGUGAGAUGUUGGGUUAAGUCCCGCAACGAGCGCAACCCACGUCGUUAGUUGCCAGCAUUCAGUUGGGCACUCUAGCGAGACCGCCGGUGAUAAACCGGAGGAAGGUGUGGAUGACGUCAAGUCAUCAUGCCCCUUACAUCCUGGGCUACACACGUACUACAAUGCUACGGACAAAGGGCAGCAAACUCGCGAGAGCUAGCAAAUCCCAUAAACCGUGGCUCAGUUCAGAUCGUAGGCUGCAACUCGCCUACGUGAAGGAGGAAUCGCUAGUAAUCGCAGGUCAGCAUACUGCGGUGAAUACGUUCCCGGGCCU
rnacentral:rRNA from 1 species